rnacentral:sRNA from 1 species
UUGUGAUGUCAAAAAGUCAGGUCCUCGCU